CACCUGUUCUCCUGAGGCCCGGUGUAUUGCUAUUCGUGCUGUGGACGUUGUUGCCGGCUCUUAAAGUAUUCUGGCGUCUUGCUUCCCGCACUGGGGACCUGGUGGUCAGCGGUUCUAGAGCUGACUUGCCCUGCCUGCAGUCCUGGUGGCCAGACAUUCUUGCGUACCUGUAUUUUGCUGCCGGCCCUCUGGAGCUCGUGCCCAGUUCAAGUCCGGCCCUGUCAACCAGGUGGCCACCAUAUGGGGCCUGGUGUCUUGCUACGCACCCUGCAGACCUGUGGUUCUAGAGGUGACUUGCCCUGCCUGCAGUCCUGGUGGCCAGAUGUUCUUGCGUACCUGUAUUUUGCUGCCGGCCCUCUGGAGCUCGCGGCCAGUUCAAGUUCGGCAGUAUCAACUUGGUGGCCACCAUAAGGGGCCUGGUGUCUUGCUACGCACCCUGCAAACCUGGUGAUCACCUGUCCUCGUGCGCCCUGGUGUAUUGUUAUCCGAGCAGCAGAUGAGGCGAUGCUGGCCUUUCGUGCAUCGUAACCGCGACCAGCGUGGGUGGCAGCAUGGUGACCGACUAUAGUAGCCAGACUAGCAAGGUAAGCACAUU